UAAAAAAAGGUAAGCUACUAAGAGCGAAUGGUGGAUGCCUUGACUGGUAAAGGCGAUGAAGGACGUACUAGACUGCGAUAAGCUACGGGGAGCUGUCAAGAAGCUUUGAUCCGUAGAUUUCCGAAUGGGGCAACCCAAUGUAUAGAGAUAUACAUUACCUAUAUAGGAGCGAACGAGGGGAAUUGAAACAUCUUAGUACCCUCAGGAAAAGAAAUCAAUAGAGAUUGCGUCAGUAGCGGCGAGCGAAAGCGCAAGAGGGCAAACCCAGUGCUUGCACUGGGGGUUGUAGGACUGCAAUGUGCAAGAGCUGAGUUUAGCAGAACAUUCUGGAAAGUAUAGCCAUAGAGGGUGAUAGUCCCGUAUGCGAAAAACAAAGCUUAGCUAGCAGUAUCCUGAGUAGGGCGGGACACGAGGAAUCCUGUCUGAAUCCGGGUCGACCACGAUCCAACCCUAAAUACUAAUACCAGAUCGAUAGUGCACAAGUACCGUGAGGGAAAGGUGAAAAGAACUGAGGUGAUCAGAGUGAAAUAGAACCUGAAACCAUUUGCUUACAAUCAUUCAGAGCACUAUGUAGCAAUACAGUGUGAUGGACUGCCUUUUGCAUAAUGAGCCUGCGAGUUGUGGUGUCUGGCAAGGUUAAGCAAACGCGAAGCCGUAGCGAAAGCGAGUCUGAAUAGGGCGCUUAGUCAGAUGCUGCAGACCCGAAACGAAGUGAUCUAUCCAUGAGCAAGUUGAAGCUAGUGUAAGAACUAGUGGAGGACUGAACCCAUAGGCGUUGAAAAGCCCCGGGAUGACUUGUGGAUAGGGGUGAAAGGCCAAUCAAACUUCGUGAUAGCUGGUUCUCUCCGAAAUAUAUUUAGGUAUAGCGUUGUGUCGUAAUAUAAGGGGGUAGAGCACUGAAUGGGCUAGGGCAUACACCAAUGUACCAAACCCUAUCAAACUCCGAAUACCUUAUAUGUAAUCACAGCAGUCAGGCGGCGAGUGAUAAAAUCCGUCGUCAAGAGGGAAACAACCCAGACUACCAGCUAAGGUCCCUAAAUCUUACUUAAGUGGAAAACGAUGUGAAGUUACUUAAACAACCAGGAGGUUGGCUUAGAAGCAGCCAUCCUUUAAAGAAAGCGUAAUAGCUCACUGGUCUAGUGAUUUUGCGCGGAAAAUAUAACGGGGCUAAAGUAAGUACCGAAGCUGUAGACUUGCACACAACUUAGAUUAUUUAAGUUUAGAAUAUGAGAAACUAAGUUAUAUGUUUAGUUAUAUUUUUACUGAUUUUUAUAGAGUAAAGAUAGAAAUAAAACUUAGUAAAAUCAGUAAAAAUAUUCUUAGGCUAAAGUUAAGUAGUUUAAGUUGUGUGCAAGUGGUAGGAGAGCGUUCUAUUUGCGUCGAAGGUAUACCGGUAAGGAGUGCUGGAGCGAAUAGAAGUGAGCAUGCAGGCAUGAGUAGCGAUAAUUAAUGUGAGAAUCAUUAACGCCGUAAACCCAAGGUUUCCUACGCGAUGCUCGUCAUCG
rnacentral:rRNA from 1 species